rnacentral:rRNA from 1 species
GAUGAACGCUGGCGGCGUGCCUAAUACAUGCCAGUAGAACGCUGAAGGAGGAGCUUGCUCUUCUGGAUGAGUUGCGAACGGGUGAGUAACGCGUAGGUAACCUGCCUGGUAGCGGGGGAUAACUAUUGGAAACGAUAGCUAAUACCGCAUGACAACAGUUAUUGCAUGAUAACUGUUUAAAAGGGGCAACUGCUCCACUACCAGAUGGACCUGCGUUGUAUUAGCUAGUUGGUGAGGUAACGGCUCACCAAGGCGACGAUACAUAGCCGACCUGAGAGGGUGAUCGGCCACACUGGGACUGAGACACGGCCCAGACGCCUACGGGAGGCAGCAGUAGGGAAUCUUCGGCAAUGGACGGAAGUCUGACCGAGCAACGCCGCGUGAGUGAAGAAGGGUUUCGGAUCGUAAAGCUCUGUUGUAAGAGAAGAACGAGUGUGAGAGUGGAAAGUUCACACUGUGACGGUAUCUUACCAGAAAGGGACGGCUAACUACGUG